ensembl:lncRNA
GUGAAUAACCCUAUAGAUGGUGAGAGAGAGGCACUAACGGACGCUACAGGAGUGAACACCGGAAGUAACGCGCCCAUAGUGAGUAGGUUGAAGAGAAUGUGAAAAGUUCUGAUUCUAGUGAUGAAGAAUAUGGUGGAUAUUACAAAGGCAUCUAACAUCUUUAAACCUGAAUGCCUUGUUUUAUAAAUCAUAUUGUACAAUUUCUAACCUACUGUCUGUAGCACACAGACAAAAACAUGUGUGACCUUUCACAGAAUGUGAUGGCAGCUUUUUUUUCUCUCUCUCAAAUAAAGACUGUAAACACUGGCGGGUGUCCAGCGUUCAUAUAAAUGCUAGGCUGCAGGUGGAUGUACUAACAGAUGAUUACAUGGC